AGCUUGCUCUCUGGGUGGCGAGUGGCGGACGGGUGAGGAAUACAUCGGAAUCUACUCUGUCGUGGGGGAUAACGUAGGGAAACUUACGCUAAUACCGCAUACGACCUACGGGUGAAAGCAGGGGAUCUUCGGACCUUGCGCGAUUGAAUGAGCCGAUGUCGGAUUAGCUAGUUGGCGGGGUAAAGGCCCACCAAGGCGACGAUCCGUAGCUGGUCUGAGAGGAUGAUCAGCCACACUGGAACUGAGACACGGUCCAGACUCCUACGGGAGGCAGCAGUGGGGAAUAUUGGACAAUGGGCGCAAGCCUGAUCCAGCCAUACCGCGUGGGUGAAGAAGGCCUUCGGGUUGUAAAGCCCUUUUGUUGGGAAAGAA
rnacentral:rRNA from 1 species